rnacentral:lncRNA from 1 species
AAAAAAAAGUUGUCAACAUACGCUUGCCAGGAUUAGACGCGGCAUACCUAGUUUUCAAGCAGAAGUGGAGUAUCUAUGUCAGAAACUCAGACAACUUUAAGGAAAAUCAUCAAAAGGGCACCCUUUCAGAUAAAAACGUGGACCUGAUUGGCAUCAUCCUGUAUCCAUGGAAACGUUAAAACACGUCCUGAAUUGUUCAUGAAACUGGAAAUGACAACAAUAUUGCCC